rnacentral:rRNA from 1 species
GAGUUUGAUCCUGGCUCAGAUUGAACGCUGGCGGCAGGCUUAACACAUGCAAGUCGAGCGGUAACAGGGGUAGCUUGCUACCCGCUGACGAGCGGCGGACGGGUGAGUAAUGCUUAGGAAUCUGCCCAGUAGUGGGGGAUAGCCCGGGGAAACCCGGAUUAAUACCGCAUACGUCCUACGGGAGAAAGCAGGGGAUCUUCGGACCUUGCGCUAUUGGAUGAGCCUAAGUCGGAUUAGCUAGUUGGUGGGGUAAAGGCCUACCAAGGCGACGAUCCGUAGCUGGUCUGAGAGGAUGAUCAGCCACAUCGGGACUGAGACACGGCCCGAACUCCUACGGGAGGCAGCAGUGGGGAAUAUUGGACAAUGGGGGCAACCCUGAUCCAGCCAUGCCGCGUGUGUGAAGAAGGCUUUCGGGUUGUAAAGCACUUUCAGUAGGGAGGAAAACCUUAUGGUUAAUACCCAUGAGGCUUGACGUUACCUACAGAAGAAGCACCGGCUAACUCCGUGCCAGCAGCCGCGGUAAUACGGAGGGUGCAAGCGUUAAUCGGAAUUACUGGGCGUAAAGCGCGCGUAGGUGGUUUGGUAAGCGAGAUGUGAAAGCCCCGGGCUUAACCUGGGAACAGCAUUUCGAACUGUCAGACUAGAGUGUGGUAGAGGGUAGUGGAAUUUCCUGUGUAGCGGUGAAAUGCGUAGAUAUAGGAAGGAACCCAGUGGCGAAGGCGGCUACCUGGACAACACUGACACUGAGGUGCGAAAGCGUGGGGAGCAAACAGGAUUAGAUACCCUGGUAGUCACGCCGUAAACGAUGUCAACUAGCCGUUGGGGAGUACGGCCGCAAGGUUAAAACUCAAAUGAAUUGACGGGGGCCCGCACAAGCGGUGGAGCAUGUGGUUUAAUUCGACGCAACGCGAAGAACCUUACCUGGCCUUGACAUCCAGAGAACUUUCCAGAGAUGGAUUGGUGCCUUCGGGAACUCUGAGACAGGUGCUGCAUGGCCGUCGUCAGCUCGUGUCGUGAGAUGUUGGGUUAAGUCCCGUAACGAGCGCAACCCCUAUCCCUGGUUGCUAGCAGGUAAUGCUGAGAACUCCAGGGAGACUGCCGGUGACAAACCGGAGGAAGGUGGGGAUGACGUCAGGUCAUCAUGGCCCUUACGGCCAGGGCUACACACGUGCUACAAUGGCGCGUACAGAGGGCUGCCAACUCGCGAGAGUGAGCCAAUCCCUUAAAACGCGUCGUAGUCCGGAUCGGAGUCUGCAACUCGACUCCGUGAAGUCGGAAUCGCUAGUAAUCGCGAAUCAGAAUGUCGCGGUGAAUACGUUCCCGGGCCUUGUGCACACCGCCCGUCACACCAUGGGAGUGGAUUGCACCAGAAGUAGUUAGUCUAACCUUCGGGAGGACGAUUACCACGGUGUGGUUCAUGACUGGGGUGAAGUCGUAACAAGGUAGCCGUAGGGGAACCUGCGGCUGGAUCACCUCCUUUCU